rnacentral:rRNA from 1 species
GUGAGGAAUAUUGGUCAAUGGGCGAGAGCCUGAACCAGCCAAAUCGCGUGAAGGAUGAAGGUAUUAUGUAUUGUAAACUUCUUUUAUCGGGGAAUAAAGUGCGGGACGUGUCCCGUUUUGUAUGUACCCGAAGAAUAAGGAUCGGCUAACUCCGUGCCAGCAGCCGCGGUAAUACGGAGGAUCCAAGCGUUAUCCGGAUUUAUUCGGUUUAAAGGGUGCGUAGUCGGACUGUCAAGUCAGCGGUGAAAGUCCAUGGCUCAACCAUGGAAUUGCCGUUGAAACUGUCGGUCUUGAGUGUAGAUGAGGUAGGCGGAAUUCGUAGUGUAGCGGUGAAAUGCUUAGAUAUUACGAAGAACUCCAAUUGCGUAGGCAGCUUACCAGGCUACAACUGACGCUGAGGCACGAAGGUGCGGGGAUCAAACAGGAUUAGAUACCCUAGUAGUCC